rnacentral:rRNA from 1 species
CACUAUGCUUAGCCCUAAACAUAGAUAAAAAUCUACUUAUUUUAUCCGCCUGGGAACUACGAGCGUUAGCUUAAAACCCAAAGGACUUGGCGGUGCUUUAGAUCCACCUAGAGGAGCCUGUUCUAGAACCGAUAAUCCCCGUUAAACCUCACCUUUCCUUGUCUUUUUCCGCCUAUAUACCGCCGUCGUCAGCUUACUCUGUGAAGAACCUGCAGUAGGCGCAAUCGGUACAGCCCAAAACGCCAGGUCGAGGUGUAGCGUAUGGAAAGGGAAGAAAUGGGCUACAUUCGAUAUUUUAUUGAAUACGGACGACAUCCUGAAAUAAAUGUCUGAAGGAGGAUUUAGCAGUAAGCAGAGAAUAGAGAGCCCUGCUGAAACUGGCCCUGAAGCGCGCACACACCGCCCGUCACUCUCCCCGAGCUAAUAAACUUUUAUUAACUAAAAAACGAAACCUGUAAAGGGGAGGCAAGUCGUAA